rnacentral:RNase_P_RNA from 1 species
UACGGCGGCGGGACAGUUCGCAAGAACUGCCUGAGGAAAGUCCGGGCUUCACAGAGGCAUGGCAACUGCUAACGGCAGCCGGGGGUGACCCCAGGGAUAGUGCAACAGAAAGAAACCGCCGCGCUUGCGCGGUAAGGAUGGAAAGGCGAGGUAAGAGCUCACCAGCGCACUGGCGACUUUGCGGCUAUGUAAACCCUGCUUGAAGCAACAUCCGUAUGGGACAUUAUGCGGAGCCUCGCGCGUCCCGGUGAUGGCGUGAGCCUUGCGGCGACGCAAGGCCAAGAUAGAUCGUCGUUUGAUACAGAACCCGGCUUACGGUCCAGUC